GCCGGUGCUUUUUUCUAUAUAGUGUACAAGCACGACCACCGCUGCUGGAUUGCAGGGUGGUCUGUAACCAUGGAAACGAGCAGUGUGUAAUGUGAUGGAAAAAUGAACCCAGCCAGCAAGGGAAGCAAUAUAGAGAAGAACAAUGCAGUAGUA